GUUUACUUUUCUACACUGGUUAGAGGUAUAGGGGGAGGGUUGAGAUCUCACAAACAUGUUUAACCUCGCCGCAUUUUUGCGCCUGUCCCAAGUCAGGAGCCUCUAGCCUUUGUUAGUCUUGUAUUAUUUUAAUUUUAGUUUCUUGUGUACAAUUUGGAAAUUAGUAUGGCGUUCAUUAUCACUGGACUAGUAUAUAUUUGUU
rnacentral:lncRNA from 1 species